rnacentral:rRNA from 1 species
ACGCUCGACACCUACGGGAGCAGCAGUGGGGAAUAUUGCACAAUGGGGGAAACCCUGAUGCAGCGACGCCGCGUGAGCGAAGAAGUAUUUCGGUAUGUAAAGCUCUAUCAGCAGGGAAGAAACUGACGGUACCUGACUAAGAAGCACCGGCUAAAUACGUGCCAGCAGCCGCGGUAAUCUGAGCGGGCUGGCAAGGC